AAAGUCGUAACAAGGUUUCCGUAGGUGAACCUGCGGAAGGAUCAUCAUUGGUAUUCUUUGGUUGGUGGGGAGUGGGAUUCCCCAUUUCUAUUGAUUCCCAGCAAACAGACGGUAGCUUUUUGGGUUGUGGUUGACUGAGACAGCGAGAACGGAACGAGGGAGCAGAAACAACUUUCAACAACGGAUCUCUUGGCUCUC
rnacentral:misc_RNA from 1 species